rnacentral:rRNA from 1 species
GUAGGGAAUCUUGCGCAAUGGGCGAAAGCCUGACGCAGCCAUGCCGCGUGAAUGAUGAAGGUCUUAGGAUUGUAAAAUUCUUUCACCGGGGACGAUAAUGACGGUACCCGGAGAAGAAGCCCCGGCUAACUUCGUGCCAGCAGCCGCGGUAAUACGAAGGGGGCUAGCGUUGCUCGGAAUUACUGGGCGUAAAGGGCGCGUAGGCGGACAGUUUAGUCAGAGGUGAAAGCCCAGGGCUCAAACUUGGAAUUGCCUUUGAUACUGGCUGUCUUGAGUACGGGAGAGGUGAGUGGAACUCCGAGUGUAGAGGUGAAAUUCGUAGAUAUUCGGAAGAACACCGGUGGCGAAGGCGACUCACUGGCCCGUUACUGACGCUGAGGCGCGAAAGCGUGGGGAGCAAACAGGAUUAGAAACCCCGGUAGUCC